CGACCGCGACCCCAGGUCAGGCG
rnacentral:rRNA from 4 species